rnacentral:piRNA from 1 species
UGACUUGCCUUGAAGGCCAAAGUUGAUGA